AUGAAGAUUUUCAGCUGGAUGGCGAACAAGAUCAGCGGGAAGCAGGAGGCCAGCCGCUUCCCGGCCAGUUCCUCCGGGCCUUCUCGUUCUAAAGUGCCGGACUGUCGCAACGACGAGUUCAGCGAUUGGCCCCAAUCAUUGCUUGCCAUUGGGACAUUUGGAAAUAAGCAGAUAGAGGAGGUAGCACAAGUGCAGGAUGCUUCCGAGGAUGGGCAGUCCAUGCAAGAUGCCAUCAAGUUUACAGAGGAGGAAGUAGACAAAAUACAGAAAGAGUUUGCAAUGAUACUAGCAAGCAAAGACCAAACGGAAACUCAUGACCCGCACGAUGAUGACCAGGUAGCUUCACACAAAAAUGUCGAUGAGAGCAUAAAUGAGAAGCACAGGGACCAGCUGUUUAACAAGAUCGUCAUAAGUAAGGCAAAAGAUUCACCGGGGAAGAAAGCAAGUACACUCAAGCCGAGAUCAGUUGCUUCGCUCCUCAAACUACUCAUGCCUAAGGGUGGCUUUGCCUCUGCUGUUCCAGAUCCAAGGAACUCUUUCCCUCAAUCAAGAAUGGAAAAGCUGCUCAAGGCAAUACUUCAGAAGAAAAUACAUCCGCAAAAUUCUUCGGCGCUCGUACCUAGGAGACAUUUGGACUGGAAGCCAGAUGAGCAAGAGAUCAAUGAAUGCCUUGAGGAUGCACUCCGUGAUCUAGACGAUGAUGGCGCAAAAUGGGUCAAAACUGAUUCAGACUUUAUUGUGCUAGAAAUGUAA
rnacentral:rRNA from 1 species